CCUACGGGUGGCAGCAGUCGAGAAUCAUUCACAAUGGGGGAAACCCUGAUGGUGCGACGCCGCGUGGGGGAAUGAAGGUCUUCGGAUUGUAAACCCCUGUCAUGUGGGAGCAAAUUAAAAAGAUAGUACCACAAGAGGAAGAGACGGCUAACUCUGUGCCAGCAGCCGCGGUAAUACAGGGGUCUCAAGCGUUGUUCGGAAUCACUGGGCGUAAGGCGUGCGUAGGCUGUUUCGUAAGUCGUGUGUGAAAGGCGCGGGCUCAACCCGCGGACGGCACAUGAUACUGCAAGACUAGAGUAAUGGAGGGGGAACCGGAAUUCUCGGUGUAGCAGUGAAAUGCGUAGAUAUCGAGAGGAACACUCGUGGCGAAGGCGGGUUCCUGGACAUUAACUGACGCUGAGGCACGAAGGCCAGGGGAGCGAAAGGGAUUAGAUACCCUAGUAGUC
rnacentral:rRNA from 1 species